GAACACAGAGAAAGGGCACCUAAGAUUCUGAGAAGUCAGCAGGGCAUCUGUCGUCAUGGAACUUAAGUGGAUCCUUGAAGAAGGAGUCAGGGGAAAAGGACAGAACUGAUUUCACCCAGAGGCUAUAAGAGUUUACGAUACACUUAUUGGAUCUACAGGUACAUUUUUGUGUCCUUUGUCACAAAAGAGCAUUGGGAAACAUAAGCCUGAAAAUAAAGCUAAAAUAAAUUAUGUGGUGGGUUUUGUACAUCAAGCCUGAGUUCUUCAACUUAGCAGAAAGGAGAAAGGAAACAGGAAGAAAACAGGAAACCACUUAAAAUUUUUAAGUAAGGGAUCAGUAUGAUCAAGUCUGAUUUCAAAUAGCUCAUUAUUGGUAUUAUGCAGCUGGACAUAGCAGGCUAAGUAGAAGGGGAUUAGGUAGGACACUUUUCUAUGCAUCAGGCAAUAAGUCUGAUAACUUGUACUCAAAUGUCCACAGACAGAAAGUAAAGUGGAGGAAAAUCUAGAAAUACUAAGUCACAAAAUCAACAGAACCUACUCUCUGGCAAUCUGGAGGAUGAUGGAAACAAAAAUGGACAGCGUGGAAAAACAGAGCAUAUGAUUAUACAUUUCUGGUGUCGCCAGUGUGUGAACAACAGUCUCAGUGAAGGCUAUUUCACUGAACUUUGCUUCUGA
rnacentral:lncRNA from 1 species